rnacentral:rRNA from 1 species
GACAGAGGUGCCAAGCGUAGGCGGAAUCACUGGGCUUAAAGCGUGUGUAGGCGGAUCGUUAAGUACCUUGUGAAAUCCCACGGCUCAACCGUGGAACUGCUCGGUAUACUGGCGGUCUUGAGCCACCUAGGGGCAACUGGAACAAGUGGUGGAGCGGUGAAUGCGUAGAUAUCGAGAGGAACACCUGCGGCGAAGGCGGGUUGCUGGGCUGACACUGACGCUGAGGCGCGAAAGCCAGGGGAGCGAACGGG